rnacentral:sRNA from 1 species
UCACUGAUGACGCAUUUCCCUUCAGGGAC